rnacentral:misc_RNA from 1 species
GUGAAUCAUCAAAUUUUUGAACGCAAAUUGCACUCUCUUCGGAGAGGAGGCCUGUGUGAGGGUCAGGAUUAAUAAAAAUCGGUGUGUGGCUUCGUUGUGACGCGCGGGAGUUUGGGUGAUCGUAAUAUCCUUUAGGUUUUAAGAGGCUGAAAAUUGACUUUUUUUGCGCAUGUUAGAUGUACAGAAAUUCUUUUUUUUAUUCGUGUGUCUUAAUGCUCAAAAUCCUAUUAGAGGCGAGAAUAUCGUGUGGUGUCGUGUCUAUAAAUUUUUCAGGAUUUG